UUUUUUUUUUUUGGUACGUGCUCAUUGCUUAUGUAUUCAUGAUAGUGAUAAAAUGAGCAAUUCCCUGCCUUGGCAAAAACGGUGUCCAGACCAUCGGUGACUUGUUGUCAUCAUUAUGAGCUGCCACAGAGCUAUUUGCCCUGACUGGUGACCUCCGCUGUUUCCCUGACUGACCUGUGGUACAUUUGUCCUCGCUGGGGGCUGGCACCUCUCAUUAACGUCAGCUUUCAGCAGUGCUCCCCGCUCACCAAAUUAUCACCUGCUCUCUGGUGGCAGAGUUACUACCUUGUUAAAGUGAUGCAUAUAUUGAAGUCAUUUCUAAAUCCAACAGGUGCCUCACACAUGGCAGGCAAGCAGCGUUCACACUCUCAUUUGGCCAGAGAGCCCAGAGAAGGGCCCUAAAAGGGGAGCCAUUUUCUGACAACCAUAGUGUAGCUGCCAGCAGAUCAGGGCCCCUUGGUCGGGUCAUGCCCUUGCUCAGACACCUUCAAUGGCUCCCUGUGACCUACACAAUAAAGUUUAAAAUCUCCAUCAUUCAAGACCCUCAUGGUCUGACUUCAGUGGGCUUUUCCAGCCUCACCUGCCCCCUCCCCUUUCACACCCUGACUUCCAGCUACAAGGGGCCACAAAGCCUUCUCUAGCUGUCAACAGUCCAAUCACCAUUCAAGGCAGUCCAUUCACCAUUUAAGAGCUGUCCCUGGCUCCCUCCUUGGUUUCUGCCACAUCUCUUUUAUUCUAACCUUCAUCAAAAUGGAACUUAGAGGGGCACCUGGGUGGCUCGGUCAGUUAAGAGUCCAACUUUGGCUCAGGUCAUUUUCUCACAGUCUGUGAGUUCGAGCCCCACGUGGAGCUCUGUGCUGACAGCUCAGAGCCUGGAGCCUGCUUCCGAUUGUGUCUCCCUCUCUCUCUGCCCUCCCCUCCUUCGUGCUCUCUCUCUCAAAAAUAAAUAAACAUUAAACAAAAAUUUUUUUUAAUUAAAAAAAAUGGAACUUAGGUUACCAUAGGAUUUUGUCUGCUGUCACAUACACUGGAACUUCUUAGGGUUGGGGGUGUUGUUUUAGCUAUGUGUCCUCCAUACCCUGCACUCAGGAGCAGCUCAGUAAACCAUGUAGGUGCUUUUCACAAGCAGGCUCUCUAAUCACCAUGGCAACCUUGCAAACUAGACAGUGUUUUUUCCCAAAUGAAGUCUCAGGUUAAGCAACUUGCCCCACGUCAGAUAUGCUUAGUUUCCAAGGCAGAACUCUUUCCACAGUGUCUAAAGUAUGUCUGAUGUUUGCAUGCUCAAAACAAACACAAAACAAAACAAAUCCCACUCUGCUUCAUAGAAGCAGCAUUACCUGGACCUAAUCCCACCUCUCGUGGAACCGAAUGGUUUUUUGGGAGCCCUCUACCUGGGCAAACACCCCCACCUUCUCUGAAUUUCAGUUUCCUCCACUGUCAUGGGGUUGAUACUAAUAGCUUCCUUCUUAGGCUAACAGAGAUAACACACACAAGGCACGCAGCGCUGUGAUAAGUCACCGUCCUUCCUGGGUGCCCUGCCCUGUCGCCUUGCCGCUCAGAUGCCUCCUCCACACCAGGGGCUGAGAAGCGCUGGCUGGGGCGGGGCAGGGGGCGGAGCCUGGUCCCUCCUGACUGUCCUCCAGAAUCACACAUCUGGCCCCUCAGGGUGGGAGUGGGAAGGAAGCCAGGCUCCCUGGACGCUGAUGAAACGUGUCUGUUGUGGGCCUGUUGGGCAACGCUGAAACUGGGGAGGAAGGAACAGCAACCGCUGAGUCUCCUGCUGGGUCCGAGGAGGCUUGAGCAACGCCCCCAGCAGUUGCCUCAUCUCUGCCAAGCAGGGUGAUGAUGCCCCAGGGUGGGGUGUUGCACCAUGUUCUUAGAAAGCUGCCUCUGUACAUGCAUUUCCAUUUGGGGCCUGGACUAGUUUUGUUUAAUCAUUGUCUUUUUCACUUCCAAAUUUCUGAGGGCAAAUUGGGAGACCAUGAUGUGGUGAAAUGAUCAUUAGCCAACUUUCCCUGAGUACUUACUCCACAUCCUGUACUGUGCUAAGUCCCUUCAUGUACAUGAUCUCGGGGAAUGCACACACCAACCCUCUCAGUUACCCACGGUCAAGCUCCCAAAGCAGAUGAUCCUCCUUCCAAGGUAUCGGCAGAAGAUCAGAAGUGGCCUAACGCGACGUCACAGUGCCUACGUCAUUCGCCUCAUCACAUCUCAUCACGUGGGCCUUUUAUCAUCUCACAUCAUCACAGGAACAAGGGUGCUGAGCGAGGCCCCGCGCACGUCGUCCUCUGACCUCUCCACGUGCUUACAAGGUUAGCUGUCCUUCCCCCAUUUAACAGUUUUCAGAAAACUUGGGAGCCCUGUGUCCCUUGUUCGUGCUAGACCUCGGCCUGCGAUGGUGUCUGGCUGAUCAAUGAUAGUCAUAACCAUGAGUAUCAUGGAGAGCGCUUCACAUGCACCACCUCAUUUCAUCUUGAUGACAGUACGCAGUGAUAUUCCAUCUCUGUUUUACAGAGAAGAGAACUCGGUCUCGAAAAGAAGAAGCCUCUUUCUGGAGGUGACCCAGGCAGUAAGUGGCUGGUCCCUGAAACAGGUCUGGUGACCCUAAAACCUGCCCUCUUAAUGAUGACUUGAAUGCGUUGCUCAUUUUCCGUUCUCGGGGAUUCUCAACCGAGGCUGCCCAUUCACAAUACCUGGGAUACUAUUUAGAAUACUAUGGUGAGGACCAUCCCAGACCAAUUAAAUCAGUCUCUGGGAAUGGACUCGGGUUG